AAAACAUCGCCUCUUGCAAAAUCAACAAAUAAGAGGUCCCGCCUGCCCUGUGACUAUAUGUUUAACGGCCGCGGUAUUUUGACCGUGCGAAGGUAGCGCAAUCACUUGUCUUUUAAAUGGAGACCUGUAUGAAUGGCACGACGAGGGCUUAACUGUCUCCUUCCCCAAGUCAAUGAAAUUGAUCUCUCCGUGCAGAAGCGGGGAUAGACCCAUAAGACGAGAAGACCCUAUGGAGCUUUAGACACUAAAACAGCCCAUGUUAAAAACCCUCACAAAAGAGACUAAACUAGAUGGUCCCUGUCCUAAUGUCUUUGGUUGGGGCGACCACGGGGUAACAAAAAACCCCCGCGCGGAACAGAAACACUGUUUCCAGAACCAAGAGCACCCGCUCUAAGUAACAAGACCCACUUGACCUUUGAGAUCCGGCAUUAGCCGAUCAACGGACCGAGUUACCCUAGGGAUAACAGCGCAAUCUUCUUCGAGAGUUCAUAUCGACGAGAAGGUUUACGACCUCGAUGUUGGAUCAGGACAUCCUAAUGGUGCAGCCGCUAUUAAGGGUUCGUUUGUUCAACGAUUAAAGUCCUACGUGAUC
rnacentral:rRNA from 1 species